rnacentral:rRNA from 1 species
UGGAUGAUGUGGCUUAAUUCGAUGCAACGCGAAAACCUUACCCACCUUUGACAUGGCAGGAAUCCUAAAGAGAUUUGGAGUGCUCGAAAGAGAACCUGCACACAGGUGCUGCAUGGCUGUCGUCAGCUCGUGUCGUGAGAUGUUGGGUUAAGUCCCGCAACGAGCGCAACCCUUGCCAUUAGUUGCUACGAAAGGGCACUCUAAUGGGACUGCCGGUGACAAACCGGAGGAAGGUGGGGAUGACGUCAAGUCCUCAUGGCCCUUAUAGGUGGGGCUACACACGUCAUACAAUGGCCGGUACAGAGGGUAGCCAACCCGCGAGGGGGAGCCAAUCCCACAAAGCCGGUCGUAGUCCGGAUCGCAGUCUGCAACUCGACUGCGUGAAGUCGGAAUCGCUAGUAAUCGCGGAUCAGCAUGUCGCGGUGAAUACCGUUCCCGGGUCUU